UUAUGGUUAAGCUACUAAGGGCUGACGGCGGAUGCCUUGGCACCAGGAGGCGAUGAAGGACGCGGAAAGCUGCGAUAAGCUUCGGUGAGCUGCUAACAGGCUUUGACCCGGAGAUUUCCGAAUGGGGAAACCCGGCAGAGGUAAUACUUUGUCAUCGUUCAAUGAAUACAUAGUUGAACGAAGCGAACGGGGGGAAGUGAAACAUCUCAGUACCCCCAGGAAUAGAAAUCAAUUGAGAUUCCGU
rnacentral:rRNA from 1 species